ACAUCACAAUGAAACGUUGUCGUAAUACUAACUAAACGGUAUUGAGCCGAUCCCUACUGUCAAUAGUCAACCUUUUCGCCGCCUUUGCAGCCGCCGCCAAUCGGAGUUGCUCUCCAACUGACGUGAGGUUCCCUUUGCUGCAAUUGGAGGAGAGCUCAGACAGCAUUUGUGGAAGGUCAUCAAUGGGGUAGGUGAUGGAGAAUGGGAAGACAGCUGAUGUGGAAACUGUUCAUUUACUUUUUCAUCUUUGUCUAAUUUCUAACUACCUCGUGCAGUCGUGCUAUUCUCAUGGUCAAAUUUCAUAGUAUUAUUUUAUUCUCUUGAAAAAGAAAAAGGAAAAACAUUCCUACUCCGGGAUUUUUUUUUCUUUCAUAGUAAAAAAAAGAAAAGAAAUCUUGUGUAUUUUUUUUUUUUGGGUGUUCGGAUUAUUUUUGUUAAAAGACCCAAAAUUAAGAUACAAAUGUGUAAUUUUCCUAUAUUUAAUUAUAAAGCAACCUGACAUGUCGUUAUA